UACGAAGGGUGCUAGCGUUGCUCGGAAUCACUGGGCGUAAAGCGCACGUAGGCGGACUCUUAAGUCGGUGGUGAAAUCCUGGAGCUCAACUCCAGAACUGCCUUCGAUACUGAGAGUCUCGAGUCCGGGAGAGGUGAGUGGAACUGCGAGUGUAGAGGUGAAAUUCGUAGAUAUUCGCAAGAACACCAGUGGCGAAGGCGGCUCACUGGCCCGAUACUGACGCUGAGGCACGAAAGCGUGGGGAGCAAACAGG
rnacentral:rRNA from 1 species